rnacentral:lncRNA from 1 species
UUCUGAUGGACAUUUUAAUUAAAAGUUUAGAAAUUUUAUUUGAACACAAGUUUGGCAGAAAUAAUUUUACAUAAAAUUAAUCACAUGACCUCCAACACCAAUUUCUCACCCUUAUCAUCCUCAGACUCCAAUUCCUAAAUGGAUGAAGGUAUUUCUGCGAUUUACAGUUAGCCACAUUUAUUUACUUUUAGUGCAAUUGAACUUGAAAACUUUCAGUUGACAGAAAAUUUUGAAACAACAAAAAACAAAGAUAUAAAAGCAUCUUAGGCCACAAACACUCUUUCAGUUUUAACUGUUGUGAAUGAACAGCACAAUAUUUCAGAAUGUCUUUAAUAAAAUGUGUAGACUUCAUAUGAUUCUGGUCCAAAUUUGUAGGGAGAUACACAAUUGAAUUUGAAUGCCAACAGCUUUGCUGGUAUAACCUAGCAAAACUCCUAAUUUUGAUGGGUAUAUGCUAUAAAAUAUAAUUGAAAUGCAACUUUAUGACUAAUAAAGAUUGUCUUUAAAAACUGGUAGGUGUCUGUUUCUGAAUUUUGUAUUUACUAAUCUGAAACUGUAGAAGAAUAUCACUUUGUACACAAAAUAUUGAAUUUUAAUUUUGAGUUCUAACAAAAGUGACAUUUGUGGCCAGAUAUACUUUUAGCUUUUUAUAUUAUCAAAAGGAUAACUUAAUUUUUUGUAUAACAUUCUAACAAGUAAGCAUGAGAAAAAGGCAAUUUUAUGUAUAUAUGUUUUGAGAAAAUCUAUGUUCAGACAUAUAGAAUGAAGAACUUAUUAGAAGACAUGCAGAUGAGGUUCAGAAAAGGAAGCAGGCCUUGAGAGAUCAGGUAGUAAAGGACAUGAAAUGGACAACCUGACAAGCAACUGGUUUGAUUUUUUUUAAGCUAAAUUGUUAUCAAAAUGUCAAUACAAUUUGGAGGGAUAAAAGGCUAGCCAAAGAACCAUUCAUUGCAGCUUAGUAUAGCAAAGUCUCACUAAUUAAAGGGAAGAGUGUUUAAGAAUCAAUGGUCCUUUAUUAACUGAAAUAAUGGGAUUCAAAGUAACUGUUGUGUAGCUAAGGAGAGAUCCCCUUUAAUGAACAAAUAGUUUAAUUAGUAGCAUUCACAGACUAUUAAUUCCUUAACAAUUAGUAUAGUGUCUUUGCACAGCUAAGGUGCUUAAUUAAUGUUGAAAGAAUUAGGAAUAUUUAAUGUGCUAGAGUACUUAUAAACAAUUCAUUCCCCUAAAAAAUUAAGUAAUCCUGAAAUCUUGCUGAUAAAUUAAUAAAGAGAAAAAUCCCAACUCUGUUCUGGUUGAAUUAGUAAAAGAGCCAAAUUAAUACCAUUUUACUGAUUUUAUAUGAAAACAUGAACUUUCCUCUCCUUUUGUAGAAAGCACUAAAAGUUAAGAAGCUUGGAGUUAGGAACCAAUAGGCUGAAAGAAACCAAAAUAGGGGAAAUGUGGAUGUUUCUCUUGUCCUUGAGUACUCAAUGUAUCAAACACCCUGUGGUUAGGGCUAAAUCCUUAUAGCAAAAUACAAUCACAGAGAUGUAU